rnacentral:misc_RNA from 1 species
GAAUGCACCCAAUCUGUAGCGUGGCUAUUCGCAAUGGAGUUAUCAGAUAUAUACAUGAGAAUAGCCAAAAUGACCCUUUAUCUCAGCCCAAAUAAGAUUUUCGUAAAUCUGUGCAAGAGCAAGAUUGAUUCAUGCGUCGUGUUUAUAUUUGUCUUCCUUUCCUAUCAUUAUGACCUAACGCGGAAACAAAAGGUGUGUAUAUACUUGUUUGUUGUAUGAUUUGUACAUACAUAUACAAAUUUAUACCUGUAUCUGGCGUUUGCAAAGAUAUUCUUCAGCGAAACGACUAGGAAUCACCGUUAUAUAUAUAUAUAUGUGUAUAUAUAUAUAUAUAUAUAUAUAUCUCCUUGGCACAUUGGAGUAAGUGUAAGCUUAUCUGCGAUCUAUUUUUUGGUUAUCGCGCUUUGCAUUAAAAUACACUGUAACUUCACGAGGGUAUACUGAUUACUCGUUGCAAUCAUGCCGAGAGACCUGAGACAAACUAUGAAGAAAGUUCGACGUGGGUCUCGUGGUAAGCGCCAAGAUAUCACAUCGUUUAGAUACGAACAGAAAAUGAUAUUGGAUUCAAUGAUAGAUGGCACAGAUGCCGUUCAAAAUAACGUAUUAAUGGAACUUGGUGCACAACUCGCAUCUAAACUCAAGGUUUCUGCAAAUUUCAAGUUGAAACAGGAACGUGCGAAAUCCAACAGGACUGCAAUGUGUGAAACUCAGGAGCAAGUUGCAUCGAAUUCCUCAGGAUACGAAACGGACAUUAUGAGGAUGGCGAGUACAUUGUGGGUAUCGUCGAGUAGCGGAUCAGUAGCUAGCAACACAACGCACAAUAGUAUUAUGCAAGAUGAAAGUGAAUCCACAGAAGAAGAAAAAGAAACAAAUGACAUCAGGACAUCAGCUACGACAAAUCACUUGAAGAUUGACACAUUUCACACAUGCAGGUCAAUGAAUAAAGAUGUUACAUUGCAUGAAAAUGAUGCAAGAACCAUGUCAGAUAAACCACAGAACAUUGCUUUGAAUUGCAAGUCAAAAUUAAAGCUCAAAGUAGAAUUGGACAAAGUUACAGCAACUAAUUGUUUAUGUUCAUGUCAGAUACAGGAGAAACAUUCAGUUACAAAUCAGGCUGAUAUCUGCAGCAAAUCACCAAAAAAAAGUAAAAAGAAUAAAAUAGCAAUGAGAGAGUUUAAGGAAAAUACACAGAAGGAAUGCUGUUGCAUUAAAGAAGAAACAGAAAAAAAUUGUGCAACAAAGAAAACAAAAAAUGCACGGGAAAUUACACAGCAGUUGUCAGAAAAUAUGUUUUCAGAUUAUAUACCUGUGCCAGAAAUGAAAAAAAUCUUGGAAAAUCAAACAUUUGAUAAUAUACAAUAUGUAAAAGGAACUAUCCGUGUAAACCCUAAAUAUAAUCAUUUUGCUUAUAUAAGCAUGAUAGAUGGGGAACGUGAUUUAUUAAUAAAUAGUAUAAUUGAUAGAAAUCGUGCUUUUGAUGGAGAUUUAGUUGUAGCACGUAUAAAUCCUGAAGAAAAUUGGCAGAUACUUGCCAAUGGAAAAAUACAAAAAACUGGCACAGUUAUUUGUAUAUUGGAUAAACUACAUCCAAGGAAGGCAAUUGGGUAUUUAACACAACAUGUACGAAAAUGCAAGCCUUAUGUGCUAAUCAAACCGAAAGAUAUAAGAAUACCAUUGAUUAGGAUACCCUCAAAGUCAAUGCCAAAUUUGUAUCAUAAGCAACCAAAUCUUUAUAAUAAUGUAAUAUUUUUGAUUGUCAUUAAUCACUGGACACAGCCGAGUCAUGCAUCAGGGGAAAUUCUCCAGAUAGUGGGUGAAUCUGGUGACCUAAAUGCAGAAGUAACAGCAAUAUUACUCGAAAACAAUUUGGAUGUGUCGCCGUAUCGACAAGAGUUGUUACAAGGGCUUCCCGAUAGUGAUUAUGUCUUGACAAAUGCCGAUAUAAUGGGCAGAGAAGAUUGGAGCAACGAAUGUGUUUUCACGAUAGAUCCUGCCACAGCUGUUGAUUUGGAUGAUGCUGUGUCUUGUAAAGUCUUGAAAAAUGGCAACUAUGAGGUUGGUGUGCACAUAUCAGACGUAACGCAUUAUUUAGAACUCUUCUCUCCAUUAGAUAAAGCAAUUUCUAAACGAGCCACCACUGUUUAUUUACCACACACAUCUUACCACAUGUUGCCGGAGCAGCUCUGUCGAGUUUGUUCCUUGCUACCCGGCAAGGAUAAAUUAGCUUUCUCAGUAAUUUGGGAACUGACACCGGACGGCGAAAUUGUGGAACAACGUUUCGCAAAGACUGUAAUAAGAUCAUGUUGUCAAUUGUCCUAUGACCUUGCUCAAAUUAUGAUUGAUAAUCCUGAAGAAGUUUUAUCUGAUAAAGUUUUGGACAUAAAAGGAAAUUUCACGGCGUUAUCAUUAUCCAAUACGGUGAAUAAUCUUUUUAAAUUGUCGACUAGCUUGCGAAAUAAACGAUUUAGUAACGGUGCGCUCAGCUUGGACCAACCAAAAAUACAUAUAUGUAUGGACCCCAAAAUUAUGCGGGAACACGGAAUUUCAGUACCUGUGAACUACCAACUCGAAGAAAGAAGAGACAGUAACAGGCUCAUAGAAGAAUUUAUGCUGUUGGCAAAUAUGACAGUUGCCGCGCAAUUAUAUAGCACGAUUCCUGAAACGGCUUUAUUGCGCAUCCAUAGAGAUCCGAUCAAGCAUAGUCUUGUAACGAUUCAUGAGACAUUGCGAAAAUACGGAAUCCAUUUGGACAUCGAGACAGCUGGAGCUUUAAAUGCCAGUAUUCAACGCUAUGAAAGAGAUUUAUUAGAAUCGUGCAGAAUACAAGUGUGCAUCUGCCGUCACUUCGAGCGAUGACUUGAAGCAUUACGCAUUGAAUGUACCACUUUAUACGCACUUUACGUCCCCUAUUCGAAGGUAUUCCGAUUGCAUAGUUCAUCGUUUGCUCUAUGCGACGAUCGCGAAUAAACCAAUGCCAAGGAAAUGGACGGCUAAACUUUGUUCUAGAAUAUCAAACAAUUGCAACGUGAAGAAGUACAACGCAAAAUUAGCUCAAGAGCAAAGUACCGAGCUAUUCUUCGUGCACAUGGUAGGUCUUGCGGGAAGUUUUGAAGCUCUGGCUAUUGUAGCGGAGAUAAAGGAACGCAAUAUGGAUGUUAUUCUCUGUGAUACCGGCAUAAAGUUGAAG